UACGUAGGGCGCAAGCGUUGUCCGGAAUUAUUGGGCGUAAAGAGCUCGUAGGCGGCCUGUCGCGUCUGCUGUGAAAUCCCGGGGCUCAACCCCGGGCCUGCAGUGGAUACGGGCUGGCUGGAGGCAGGCAGGGGGAGAACGGAAUUCCUGGUGUAGCGGUGAAAUGCGCAGAUAUCAGGAGGAACACCGGUGGCGAAGGCGGUUCUCUGGGCCUGUUCUGACGCUGAGGAGCGAAAGCGUGGGGAGCGAACAGG
rnacentral:rRNA from 1 species